CCUACGGGUGGCUGCAGUGGGGAAUAUUGCGCAAUGGGCGAAAGCCUGACGCAGCGACGCCGCGUGAGGGAUGAAGGUCUUCGGAUCGUAAACCUCUGUCAGCAGGGAAGAACGGUCACUGUGCUAAUCAGCAGUGAAUUGACGGUACCUGCAAAGGAAGCACCGGCUCACUCCGUGCCAGCAGCCGCGGUAAUACGGAGGGUGCGAGCGUUAAUCGGAAUUACUGGGCGUAAAGCGCUCGUAGGCGGUAUGUCAAGGCAAGGGUGAAAUCCCGGCGCUCAACGUGGGAACUGCAUUUGAAACUGGCAAACUGGAGUGUGUGAGAGGAUAGUGGAAUUCGAGGUGUAGGAGUGAAAUGCGUAGAUAUCUGGAGGAACAUCAGUGGCGAAGGCGACUAUCUGGCACAUAACUGACGCUGAGGAGCGAAAGCGUGGGUAGCAAACAGGAUUAGAUACCCCAGUAGUC
rnacentral:rRNA from 1 species